rnacentral:rRNA from 1 species
UACGUAGGGGGCAAGCGUUGUCCGGAAUUAUUGGGCGUAAAGAGCGUGUAGGCGGUCCGGUAAGUCAGCUGUGAAAGUCAAGGGCUCAACCCUUGAAUGCCGGUUGAUACUGUCGGGCUAGAGUCCGGAAGAGGCGAGUGGAAUUCCUGGUGUAGCGGUGGAAUGCGCAGAUAUCAGGAGGAACACCGAUGGCGAAGGCAGCUCGCUGGGACGGUACUGACGCUGAGGCGCGAAAGCGUGGGGAUCAAACAGG